UACGUAGGGUGCAAGCGUUGUCCGGAAUUAUUGGGCGUAAAGAGCUUGUAGGCGGUUUGUCGCGUCUGCUGUGAAAUUUCGGGGCUCAACCCCGAACUUGCAGUGGGUACGGGCAGACUAGAGUGUGGUAGGGGAGACUGGAAUUCCUGGUGUAGCGGUGAAAUGCGCAGAUAUCAGGAGGAACACCGAUGGCGAAGGCAGGUCUCUGGGCCACUACUGACGCUGAGGUGCGAGAGCGUGGGGAGCGAACCGG
rnacentral:rRNA from 1 species